GGGGCGGGGGCGGUGGUGGUAAGGCUUCAAGGUGCGGCUAUGGGGGGGCUGCUUGUCCUCUCCUUUCCUGCUAGUUCUCCCGCAAUGGUAGCCCAAGUGUCCCUGCAGUUUGUGAGUGAGAAUGCUCAGAAGCUGUUCCAGGGAACAGACAGGCCAAGCUUAUAUCACAGAUCUAUCAUCAUCAUCAUCAUCAAAAAAAAAAAAAAAAAAAUCAGGCUAAGCUCUGUGGCUCACGCCUGUAAUCCCAGCACUUUGGGAGGCCGAGGCAGAUGGAUCCCCUGAGGUCAAGAGUUCCAGACCAGCCUGGCCAACAUGGCAAAACCCCCUCUCUACUAAAAAUACAAAA
rnacentral:antisense_RNA from 1 species